CAAGUGUGAGAGACUGUGAGACUGUCAGUAACCGCUGCUCUUCUCGUCGACUUACAUUUGUUAAUGAGCAGAUGUGGUGGUGGAAAGGCCACGAUAGACCUUCCUCCUAAACUGAACCACAUCAGAUGAUUCGGGAUGCGGAAGAGAAGGGAGACUAUACAUUUUCAUACAUUGUCAAGGUCGCGUACAACCGUGGCCUUCGAAGGGACCCAUGAUGUUGAACUUAUCUUGCACGACAGACUGACAGCUUUAGAAUGGAGGGAGGAAGAACUUCAACCAGGAAUGCAGUUUUCAAGCGGCGGUUCAGCCUGCAAGA